CAGGACAUCUACCACGUGACAGGUCCACUAACAGAGCUGCAGAUAGCGUACAUGUGCAGAGAGACCCUCACCGGCCUCUCGUAUCUACACAGCAUGGGGAAGAUGCAUAGGGAUAUCAAAGGUGCUAAUAUACUGCUGACGGAAUGUGGGGAUGUCAAAUUGGCAGAUUUUGGUGUCUCAGCGCAGAUUACAGCCACUAUUAA